GCGGGUAUGGCGAAAUUGGUAGACGUGCCAGACUUAGGAUCUGGUGCCGCAAGGCGUGUAGGUUCGAGUCCUAUUACCCGCACAA
rnacentral:tRNA from 1 species